rnacentral:lncRNA from 1 species
GUUCAUAAAAAUAUGUAACUUUCCCCAGAAAUCCAACUUUGAAGAUUUUGCUUGGCUUGGAAGUCAAAUCAUCAAGGUUGGAGCUGAUGUCUGCUAAUGAGGCCGGUGUUGAGGCUUUUGUUCAAACGGUAUUGACAUACUUAAAGGACAAGAGUUUAGAUGGUCUAGAUGUGACUUGGCUGGAUGGCCCUUCUUCUGCUGAAUCUAGCAGAACCAUAGAGCUAUUCACAAAUUUUCUGAAGCGUCUAAAAGGCGCGUUUGAAGAAGAAACCCAGCCUCUACUUCUGUCAGUGUCUGUACUAGAGCCUGUUGACCACAGUGCAGUCACUUAUAAUGAGCGAACACUUUCACAGUAUGUGGACUUCAUCUCCAUUCUGCCUGCUCACCUCAAAAAGGAUGGACCAUACAUUGACAAAACAGUCCAACACUGGCAGGACCAGCAAGUUGACCUGCAAAAGCUCAAUCUAGCCAUGCCUGCUUUUCAACGCUGGUCACGUCGAAGGCAUCACCACAGGGAUCACCUCGAGCAUGAUGACAUGAAUACAGAGACAGGAAGGAAGGAUCACAUCCACGUUUUGGGCUUAUACCUGGGCGAUCAGGUGUGUCAGGCCAUUAAAAGUGGACAGGAGCGGUUCAUUACUUUAACAAGUCUCUCAAAUGAGCAAAGUCUUGUAGCAGAGGUGCUCCAGAAAGGCUUUGGUGGCAUAGGAGUUGUCUUCAUAGAUCUGGAUGUCUUCUAUAACUCCAUGUGUGCAAACGUUACUCAGGAAGAAGGAGCGAUGGUUGAAUCAAAGGUGAUUCUGCAUUCACAUCAUGAACACAGACGUCAUGAGCAUGGUGGUCAUCAUCACAGGAGGAUCCAUCACCACAGCCGCCACCAGCAUCAUCACUCUCAUCUUCCUUACGGCAGCCAUGGUCACCGUCACCGUCACCAUGGACGCCAUCAACAUGGCCAUCGUCACCAUGGUCACCGUCAUCACCAUCAGCAUCAUCCAAUAAUUCCUCAAAGCAACAUAACCCUGGAAGAACACCAGGGCAUGGAGUGAACUUAAUACAUAAUUUGCAUAUGAUGAAUGUUAAUGAGAGACCUGCUUAUAGAAAUAUAUAUAUAUAUAUAUAUAUACAUAAUUUUCCACACAAAAUUCUCAUUAACCUUAAUAUCUAUCUAUCUAUCGAUCUAUCGAUCUAUCUAUCUAUCUAUCUAUCUAUCUAUCUAUCUAUCUAU